rnacentral:lncRNA from 1 species
AAAUUUUGGUCAUAAGUAUUAUUAAGGGCACACGAUUCUCUAUUUAAAUUUAGCACUGUUCAUAAAAACUCAUCAAUUUACAACCUCAUUCAUCUUUAAUCCAUUCUUAGUCAACAAAAACCAUCAUCUAUAACACCAAAAAUCAAUAAAACUUGUAAAACAUGAGUCAAGAAUGUAGACAUUUUUACCAACAUCAAUCUUAAGCCCUAAGACAUUCCAAGAUGACGCUCCUACACAUUGUGUCCUCUCCUCAAAGCCUUUCUUCUUCAUCUAUCGGUCUCCUUUUUCUUUCUCAAACCCCUUUGCACUUAUCGCUCUUCAGCUCUUUGUUUUGUUUCCUUUCAUUGCCUUUAGCAGCAAGAAUAAAAAAGAACUGUAGAUUUAAAG